rnacentral:rRNA from 1 species
UGCGUUCCCGGGUCUUGUACACACCGCCCGUCACACCACGGGAGUUGGGGGCGCCCGAAGCCGGUUAGCUAACCUUUUAGGAAGCGGCCGUCGAAGGUGAAACCAAUGACUGGGGUG